rnacentral:rRNA from 1 species
GACGGAGGAUGCAAGUGUUAUCCGGAAUCACUGAGCGUAAAGCGUCUGUAGGUGGUCAAAUAAGUCAACUGUUAAAUCUUGAGGCUCAACCUCAAAACCGCAGUCGAAACUAUUAGACUAGAGUAUAGUAGGGGUAAAGGGAAUUUCCAGUGGAGCGGUGAAAUGCGUAGAGAUUGGAAAGAACACCAAUGGCGAAGGCAGCUCUCUGGGACGGUACUGACGCUGAGACGCGAAAGCGUGGGGAGCGAACAGG